AUUGAACGCUGGCGGCAUGCCUUACACAUGCAACUCGAACGGUAACGGGCCUUCGGGUGCCGACGAGUGGCGAACGGGUGAGUAAUACAUCGGAACGUGCCCGAUCGUGGGGGAUAACGAGGCGAAAGCUUUGCUAAUACCGCAUACGAUCUACGGAUGAAAGCAGGGGACCGCAAGGCCUUGCGCGGACGGAGCGGCCGAUGGCAGAUUAGGUAGUUGGUGGGAUAAAAGCUUACCAAGCCGACGAUCUGUAGCUGGUCUGAGAGGAUGAUCAGCCACACUGGGACUGAGACACGGCCCAGACUCCUACGGGAGGCAGCAGUGGGGAAUUUUGGACAAUGGGCGCAAGCCUGAUCCAGCCAUGCCGCGUGCAGGAUGAAGGCCUUCGGGUUGUAAACUGCUUUUGUACGGAACGAAAAGCCUUCUUUUAAUACAGGAGGGUCAUGACGGUACCGUAAGAAUAAGCACCGGCUAACUACGUG
rnacentral:rRNA from 1 species